UAACACAUGCAAGUCGAACGGACCUAGCCCGGUAGUAAUAUUGGGCGACGGUUAGUGGCGAACGGGUGAGUAACGCGUGAGCAACCUGCCUUUCAGAGGGGGAUAACAACUGGAAACAGUUGCUAAUACCGCAUAAUGUAUUUAGAUGGCAUCAUUUGGAUACCAAAGGUUAAAUCCGCUGAGAGAUGGGCUCACGUCUGAUUAGCUAGAUGGUAGGGUAAGGGCCUACCAUGGCUGCGAUCAGUAGCCGGUCUGAGAGGAUGAACGGCCACAUUGGGACUGAGACACGGCCCAGACUCCUACGGGAGGCAGCAGUGGGGAAUAUUGGGCAAUGGGCGCAAGCCUGACCCAGCAACGCCGCGUGAAGGAAUAAGGCCUUCGGGUUGUAAACUUCUUUUAUUAGGGACGAAGGAUGUGACGGUACCUAAUGAAUAAGCCACGGCUAACUACGUGCCAGCAGCCGCGGUAAUACCGUAGGUGGCAGCGUUGUCCGGAUUUACUGGGUGUAAGGGCGCGUAGGCGUGGAAAGCAAGUCAGAUGUGAAAUCCAUGGGCUCAACCCAUGAACUGCAUUUGAAACUGUGUUUCUUGAGUGAUGGAGAGGCAGGCGGAAAUUCCCUAGUGUAGCGGUGAAAUGCGUAGAUAUUAGGAGGAACACCAGUGGCGAAGGCGGCCUGCUGGGACAUCAACCGACGCUGAUGCGCGAAAGCGCGGGGAGCAAACAGGAUUAGAUACCCUGGUAGUCCGCGCCGUAAACGAUGAAUACUAGGUGUGGGGGGACUGACCCCUUCCGUGCCGGAGCAAACGCAAUAAGUAUUCCACCUGGGGACUACGGUCGCAAGACUAAAACUCAAAGGAAUUGACGGGGGCCCACACAAGCAGUGGAUUAUGUGGUUUAAUUCGAAGCAACGCGAAGAACCUUACCGGGGUUUGACAUCCGACUAACGAAGCAGAGAUGCAUUAGGUGCCCUUCGGGGAAAGUCGAGACAGGUGGUGCAUGGUUGUCGUCAGCUCGUGUCGUGAGAUGUUGGGUUAAGUCCCGCAACGAGCGCAACCCUUGUUGUUAGUUGCUACGUAAGAGCACUCUAACGAGACUGCCGUUGACAAAACGGAGGAAGGUGGGGACGACGUCAAAUCAUCAUGCCCCUUAUAUCCCGGGCUACACACGUAAUACAAUGGCGUUUAACAACGGGAAGCGAAGGAGCGAUCCGGAGCGAAUCCCCAAAAGGCGUCUCAGUUCGGAUUGCAGGCUGCAACUCGCCUGCAUGAAGUAGGAAUUGCUAGUAAUCGCGGAUCAGCAUGCCGCGGUGAAUACGUUCCCGGGCCUUGUACACACCGCCCGUCACACCAUGAGAGUCGGGAACACCCGAAGUCGGUAGUCUAACCUGAUAAGGAGGGCGCCGACGAAGGUGGGCUUGAUAAUUAGGGUG
rnacentral:rRNA from 1 species